rnacentral:rRNA from 1 species
GAGGGAAAGGUGAAAAGAACCCCGGUGAGGGGAGUGAAAUAGAACCUGAAACCGUUCGCUGACAGACGGUGGGAGGGCCAGGGGGUGCCUCAGGGCGUCCCGGCCUGACCGCGUGCCUUUUGGAGAAUGAGCCGGCGAGUUAAUCGGUGUCGCGAGGUUAAGGCAGGCACAGCCGGAGCCGAAGCGAAAGCGAGUCUGAACAGGGCGUAGAGUGGCAUCGAUUAGACACGAAACCCGGUGAGCUACCCAUGGCCAGAGUGAAGGCGCGGUAAAGCGCGUUGGAGGCUCGAACCGGUUGCUGUUGCAAAAGCAUCGGAUGAGCUGUGGGUAGGGGUGAAAUGCCAAGCGAACCGGGAGAUAGCUUGUUCUCCCCGAAAUAGCUUUAGGGCUAGCGUCCGAGCAUGGCUGGCGGAGGUAGAGCACUGGAUGGACUUGGGGGCCGUCAGGUUACCCAACCCAACCAAACUCCGAAUGCCGCCAGCUUGAGCCGGGCAGUCGGACUGCGGGAGAUGAGUUUCGCAGUCGAGAGGGAAACAGCCCAGACCGACGGCUAAGGUCCCCAAGUGCAGGCUAAGUGGGAAACGAAGUGGUCGUGUUGAGACAGCCAGGAGGUUGGCUUAGAAGCAGCCAUCCUUUAAAGAGUGCGUAACAGCUCACUGGUCAAACGCGGCUGCGCGGACAAUGUAACGGGGCUCAAGUCUGCCACCGAAGCCACGGGGGGAAGGGUUCGCCCUUCUCUGGUAGGGGAGCGUUGUCAGCUCACCGAAGCGUCAGGGGAACCCGGCGUGGAGGGCUGACAAGUGAGAAUGCCGGCAUGAGUAGCGAGACAUGCGUGAGAACCGCAUGCGCCCAAACCCUGAGGUUUCCGACGGAAGGUCAAUCCGCGUCGGGUGAGUCGGGCCUUAGCCGAGGCCGAGAGGCGUAGGCGAUGGACAACGGGUGAAUAAUCCCGUACCGCUGGGCGGGAGCGAAGGGGGAACGCCGCCGCAAGGGUCAGCCCUCGAGUGGAAGGGGGGGUGCCAAGCUGGCAAGGUGAGGAAGGCCGCAGGCAAAUCCGCGGCUGGAGCUGAGCCAGUGAUGGCGGGCCUACGGGCCACAAGUGACCGGCGUGGGGGCCGAGAAACGCCUCUAAGCGAUGAACGCCCAGCGCCCGUACCGCAAACCGACACAGGUGGGGAGGUGGAGAACACCACGGCGCACGAGAGAACCCUCGUUAAGGAACUAGGCAAAAUGGCCGCGUAACUUCGGGAGAAGCGGCGCCCGGGCGACCGGGCCGCAGAGAAAUGGCUCUACCGACUGUUUAACAAAAACACAGGUCUCUGCUAACGCGCAAGCGGACGUAUAGGGGCUGACACCUGCCCGGUGCCGGAAGGUUAAGGGGAUGGGUCCGGGGGGGUAACCCUCCAAAGCUCAGAACCGAAGCCCCGGUGAACGGCGGCCGUAACUAUAACGGUCCUAAGGUAGCGAAAUUCCUUGUCGGGUAAGUUCCGACCCGCACGAAAGGUGUAACGAGUGGAGCACUGUCUCAACGAGGGGCUCGGCGAAAUUGAAGGUUGCGUAAAGAUGCGCAAGACCCGCAGCAGGACAAAAAGACCCCGUGGAGCUUGACUGCAGCUUGCCAUUGCGUGAGAGCUGUGUCUGUGUAGGAUAGCUGGGAGGCGAGGAAGCCUGGGCGCCAGCCUGGGGGGAGCCGACCUUGGAAUACCAGCCUGACACAGGUCUGACCCUAACCGUGCACCGUGAGCCGGGCACGGGACAGUGGCUGGUGGGCAGUUUGACUGGGGCGGUCGCCUGCGAAAGAGUAACGGAGGCGCCCAAAGGUUCCCUCAGGUUGAAUGGAAACCAACCGUUGAGUGUAAAGGCACAAGGGAGCUUGACUGGCAGGCCGACGAGCCGCGCAGAGACGAAAGUCGGGCUUAGUGAUCCUACAGCGCUGAGUGGAAAGGCUGUAGCUUACCGGAUAAAAGCUACCCCGGGGAUAACAGGCUAGUCUUCUCCAAGAGUUCACAUCGACGAGAAGGCUCGGCACCUCGAUGUCGGCUCAUCACAUCCUGGGGCUGGAUCGGGUCCCAAGGGUUGGGCUGUUCGCCCAUUAAAGUGGUACGUGAGCUGGGUUCAGACCGUCGUGAGACAGGUCGGUCUCUAUCCGCUGUGGGUGCGGGAGAUUUGAGGGGAGCUGCUCCUAGUACGAGAGGACCGGAGUGGACGGACCGCUGGUGUGCCAGUUGUGUCGCCAGACGCACUGCUGGGUAGCUACGUCCGGACGAGAGAACCGCUGAAAGCAUCUAAGUGGGAAACUCACCCCAAAACCAGAUCUCCUUGAGACCGCUGGAAGACGACCAGUUGGAUAGGCGGGAGGUGUACGCACAGCAAUGUGUUCAGCCAACCCGUACUAAUGGUCGAACGCUUGUCUU